AUCCUCAACCCUCACCUCAUCCCCGAAGCAAUAAUUUCUUCAUUCUCCUCCUCCAUCGCUCUCCAUCCGAGACUACACAGUUGGAAAAAAGCUCAUCUUUCAUUCAACAUCGUUGAUUUGAUCGAAGGUGGAAAACGCACAUUAAAGCUCCCCCCAGAGCUCGGAUAUGGCACAAGAGAUGCUGGCUGUAGAGGAGUUGUUCAUGUAUCAUACCUCCAGAUUCGGUUCUCCUGUUUGAUGUAGAGUUCAUCAGCAAGGCUUGAGAAGUAGGCCUCAUAAAUUCCAGGCUGAAGACCUCCUAACAUGUAGGAAGGAGCUUCUCCCUCCUCCAUUCAAGACCUUCCUUUAAGAAUACAAGGUAGGGGAAGACAACUAUCAGAACCAACUGUAUUGAUUUAUAUGCAUUUACAUGUUCUUUUGUUCCUAUAGUCCAUAAUGUAUUGGUGUGAUUUUUAGAUGA